ensembl:lncRNA
CUCAUAGGGUGACUGACGCAGCAACACAGCACUUGCGGUGUGUGAAAACAGUGCAUCCAUACUGAUGAAAGAGGAAUUUCCCUCUCGCAAGAAAGCAGUCAGAGCCCCCAGACAAAGUGGCACAUCAUUGGCAGAGCGGAGAGAGGGGGUAGCUCCCCGAGAACACCCUUGAAGCCUAGCCAGCCCAGAGCCCGCGGUGGCACCGUCAAUACUUUGGAAAACACAAAACUCGGGCAGAUUCAGGAGACCUCCAGGCCCCCCCGAGAGGAUUAGUUGUGCCGUCACCUGACGCUAAGGUUCCUCACGCACCACUUGAUAAAUACGGUGCAUUGGUUCAUAUUGUCAUCAAUGAAGCAACCAUUAACCAGAGGAUGUUUACUGAGGAACACACUUGUCACGUGAUCCUGGGGCACCAUCAGGUGCGACCCCACAAAGGAUAAUGUGGAGGUGCUGAAGUUCCCUGAGAUAAAGCAAAAAAGGAACAGAAAGCCAACUGAGGACACAACAAGAAAGCUGUCAGAAAGAGAGCUCUCACCAGAACCCAAACAUGCUGGCACGCUGAUUUCAGAUUUCCAGCCUUUGGCCGGCUGUGAGAUCACCAUGCUUCCCUUCCAUUUCCUGUUGUGUCCACCAUAACUUGACCCUUCACUUAUAAGAGAGGGUGAGUAUUCUUAGACCUUGUCUCUACCUUCUUGUAGCCAAGUGGUAUGCCUGACAGAAGAAUCCUGCGGACCUGAAAUUCCAGAGAAGGCUGGCAGGCUCCCCUGUUGGGUUACCUGAAAGAAUUUCCCAUCCAUUACUCCUGCCCAUCUUCUGAGUGAGGAAUCAAGCUGGACUGGGGUUUAAUAAGAACUGGAUGGAAGGACAUCUACGUACUUGGUUCUACUUCCCAUUCUUUUCCAUGGCACCUGCCACCUUUUGCCGUAAUAUAUAAUCUGCUUGAUAUUUAUUGUUUAUUGUCCAUUUCCUCCACUAGGAUGUAAGCACCCACAGGCAGGGAGCUUUUCCAGUUUUGUUCAUCAGUAUAGUCCAAGUGCCUAUCACAGUACUUGACAUGGG